rnacentral:tRNA from 1 species
GGUCUCAUGGUGUAACGGUUAGCACUCUGGACUCUGAAUCCAGCGAUCUCGAGUUCAAAUCUCGGUGAGACCU